rnacentral:rRNA from 1 species
GACAGAGGAUGCAAGCGUUAUCCGGAAUGAUUGGGCGUAAAGCGUCUGUAGGUGGCUUUUUAAGUCCGCCGUCAAAUCCCAGGGCUCAACCCUGGACAGGCGGUGGAAACUACCAAGCUGGAGUACGGUAGGGGCAGAGGGAAUUUCCGGGUGGAGCGGGUGAAAUGCGUGAGAGAUACGGAAAGAACACCAACGGGCGAA